rnacentral:rRNA from 1 species
UAGACUUGGCAUCAGGACUAUAUUAAAGAUUUAUCGGUAAAAGAUGAGCAUGCGUUCUAUUAGUUAGUUGGUAAGGUAACGGCUUACCAAGACAGCGAUAGAUAGGGGCCCUGAGAGGGGGAUCCCCCACACUGGUACUGAGACACGGACCAGACUCCUACGGGAGGCAGCAGUGAGGAAUAUUGGACAAUGGGCGAGAGCCUGAUCCAGCCAUGCCGCGUGCAGGAAGACUGCCCUAUGGGUUGUAAACUGCUUUUAUACAGGAAGAAACAUCUCUACGUGUAGAGACUUGACGGUACUGUAAGAAUAAGGAUCGGCUAACUCCGUGCCAGCAGCCGCGGUAAUACGGAGGAUCCAAGCGUUAUCCGGAAUCAUUGGGUUUAAAGGGUCCGUAGGUGGAUAAUUAAGUCAGAGGUGAAAUCCUGCAGCUCAACUGUAGAAUUGCCUUUGAUACUGGUUAUCUUGAGUUAUUAUGAAGUAGUUAGAAUAUGUAGUGUAGCGGUGAAAUGCAUAGAUAUUACAUAGAAUACCAAUUGCGAAGGCAGAUUACUAAUAAUAUACUGACACUGAUGGACGAAAGCGUGGGGAGCGAACAGGAUUAGAUACCCUGGUAGUCCACGCCGUAAACGAUGGUUACUAGCUGUUCGGAUUUCGGUCUGAGUGGCUAAGCGAAAGUGAUAAGUAACCCACCUGGGGAGUACGUUCGCAAGAAUGAAACUCAAAGGAAUUGACGGGGGCCCGCACAAGCGGUGGAGCAUGUGGUUUAAUUCGAUGAUACGCGAGGAACCUUACCAGGGCUUAAAUGUAGAUUGACAGGACUAGAGAUAGUUUUUUCUUCGGACAAUUUACAAGGUGCUGCAUGGUUGUCGUCAGCUCGUGCCGUGAGGUGUCAGGUUAAGUCCUAUAACGAGCGCAACCCCUGUUGUUAGUUGCCAGCGAGUCAUGUCGGGAACUCUAACAAGACUGCCAGUGCAAACUGUGAGGAAGGUGGGGAUGACGUCAAAUCAUCACGGCCCUUACGUCCUGGGCUACACACGUGCUACAAUGGUAGGGACAGAGAGCAGCCACUGCGCGAGCAGGAGCGAAUCUAUAAACCCUAUCACAGUUCGGAUCGGAGUC